AACAACCCAGACCGCCAGCUAAGGUCCCAAAGUCAUGGUUAAGUGGGAAACGAUGUGGGAAGGCCCAGACAGCCAGGAUGUUGGCUUAGAAGCAGCCAUCAUUUAAAGAAAGCGUAAUAGCUCACUGGUCGAGUCGGCCUGCGCGGAAGAUGUAACGGGGCUAAACCAUGCACCGAAGCUGCGGCAGCGACGCUUAUGCGUUGUUGGGUAGGGGAGCGUUCUGUAAGCCUGUGAAGGUGUGCUGUGAGGCAUGCUGGAGGUAUCAGAAGUGCGAAUGCUGACAUAAGUAACGAUAAAGCGGGUGAAAAGCCCGCUCGCCGGAAGACCAAGGGUUCCUGUCCAACGUUAAUCGGGGCAGGGUGAGUCGACCCCUAAGGCGAGGCCGAAAGGCGUAGUCGAUGGGAAACAGGUUAAUAUUCCUGUACUUGGUGUUACUGCGAAGGGGGGACGGAGAAGGCUAUGUUGGCCGGGCGACGGUUGUCCCGGUUUAAGCGUGUAGGCUGGUUUUCCAGGCAAAUCCGGAAAAUCAAGGCUGAGGCGUGAUGACGAGGCACUACGGUGCUGAAGCAACAAAUGCCCUGCUUCCAGGAAAAGCCUCUAAGCAUCAGGUAACAUCAAAUCGUACCCCAAACCGACACAGGUGGUCAGGUAGAGAAUACCAAGGCGCUUGAGAGAACUCGGGUGAAGGAACUAGGCAAAAUGGUGCCGUAACUUCGGGAGAAGGCACGCUGAUAUGUAGGUGAAGCGACUUGCUCGUGGAGCUGAAAUCAGUCGAAGAUACCAGCUGGCUGCAACUGUUUAUUAAAAACACAGCACUGUGCAAACACGAAAGUGGACGUAUACGGUGUGACGCCUGCCCGGUGCCGGAAGGUUAAUUGAUGGGGUCAGCGCAAGCGAAGCUCUUGAUCGAAGCCCCGGUAAACGGCGGCCGUAACUAUAACGGUCCUAAGGUAGCGAAAUUCCUUGUCGGGUAAGUUCCGACCUGCACGAAUGGCGUAAUGAUGGCCAGGCUGUCUCCACCCGAGACUCAGUGAAAUUGAACUCGCUGUGAAGAUGCAGUGUACCCGCGGCAAGACGGAAAGACCCCGUGAACCUUUACUAUAGCUUGACACUGAACAUUGAGCCUUGAUGUGUAGGAUAGGUGGGAGGCUUUGAAGUGUGGACGCCAGUCUGCAUGGAGCCGACCUUGAAAUACCACCCUUUAAUGUUUGAUGUUCUAACGUUGACCCGUAAUCCGGGUUGCGGACAGUGUCUGGUGGGUAGUUUGACUGGGGCGGUCUCCUCCUAAAGAGUAACGGAGGAGCACGAAGGUUGGCUAAUCCUGGUCGGACAUCAGGAGGUUAGUGCAAUGGCAUAAGCCAGCUUGACUGCGAGCGUGACGGCGCGAGCAGGUGCGAAAGCAGGUCAUAGUGAUCCGGUGGUUCUGAAUGGAAGGGCCAUCGCUCAACGGAUAAAAGGUACUCCGGGGAUAACAGGCUGAUACCGCCCAAGAGUUCAUAUCGACGGCGGUGUUUGGCACCUCGAUGUCGGCUCAUCACAUCCUGGGGCUGAAGUAGGUCCCAAGGGUAUGGCUGUUCGCCAUUUAAAGUGGUACGCGAGCUGGGUUUAGAACGUCGUGAGACAGUUCGGUCCCUAUCUGCCGUGGGCGCUGGAGAACUGAGGGGGGCUGCUCCUAGUACGAGAGGACCGGAGUGGACGCAUCACUGGUGUUCGGGUUGUCAUGCCAAUGGCACUGCCCGGUAGCUAAAUGCGGAAGAGAUAAGUGCUGAAAGCAUCUAAGCACGAAACUUGCCCCGAGAUGAGUUCUCCCUGACUCCUUGAGAGUCCUGAAGGAACGUUGAAGACGACGACGUUGAUAGGCCGGGUGUGUAAGCGCAGCGAUGCGUUGAGCUAACCGGUACUAAUGAACCGUGAGGCUUAACCUUACAAC
rnacentral:rRNA from 1 species